UAGGGAAUAUUAGUAAUGGGCGAAAGCCUGAACUAGCAACGCCGCGUGUGCGAAGAAGGCCUUCGGGUUGUAAAGCACUUUUUGAGAGGAUGAGGAAGGACGGUACUCUCAGAAUAAGUCUCGGCUAUCUACGUGCCAGCAGCCGCGGUAACACGUAGGAGGCGAACGUUAUCCGGAUUUACUGGGCGUAAAGCGCGUGUAGGUGGUUUGGUAAGUAGGGCGUGAAAGCUCCUGGCUCAACUGGGAGAGGCCGUUCUAAACUGCCGAACUAGAGGAUGGUAGAGGGAGGUGGAAUUCCGUGUGUAGCGGGGGAAUGCGCAGAUAUGCGGAGGAAAACCAGUGGCGAAAGCGGCCUCCUGGACCAUUCCUGACACUCAGACG
rnacentral:rRNA from 1 species